UCUGAUACCAUGGAGACAGCUAGUCUAACUGGGGUCUGAUACCAUGGAGACAGCUAGUCUAACUGGGGUCUGAUACCAUGGAGACAGCUAGUCUAAAUGGGGUCUGAUACCAUGGAGACAGCUAGUCUAACUGGGGUCUGACACCAUGGAGACAGCUAGUCUAACUGGGGUCUGACACCAUGGAGACAGCUAGUCUAACUGGGGUCUGACACCAUGGAGACAGCUAGUCUAACUGGGGUCUGACACCAUGGAGACAGCUAGUCUAACUGGGGUCUGAUACCAUGGAGACAGCUAGUCUAACUGGGGUCUGAUACCAUGGAGACAGCUAGUCUAACUGGGGUCUGAUUCCAUGGAGACCGCUAGUCUAACUGGGGUCUGAUACCAUGGAGACAGCUAGUCUAACUGGGGUCUGAUUCCACGGAGACCGCUAGUCUAACUGGGGUCUGAUACCAUGGAGACAGCUAGUCUAACUGGGGUCUGAUACCAUGGAGACAGCUAGUCUAACUGGGGUCUGAUACCAUGGAGACAGCUAGUCUAACUGGGGUCUGAUACCAUGGAGACAACUAGUCUAACUGGGGUCUGAUACCAUGGAGACAGCUAGUCUAACUGGGGUCUGAUACCAUGGAGACAGCUCGUCUAACUGGGGUCUGAUACCAUGGAGACAGUUAGUCUAACUGGGGUCCAUGGAGACAGAUAGUCUAACUGGGGUCUGAUACCAUGGAGACAGCUAGUCUAACUGGGGUCUGAUACCAUGGAGACAGCUAGUCUAACUGGGGUCUGAUACCAUGGAGACAGCUAGUCUAACUGGGGUCUGAUACCAUGGAGACAGUUAGUCUAACUGGGGUCUGAUACCAUGGAGACAGCUAGUCUAACUGGGGUCUGAUACCAUGGAGACAGCUAGUCUAACUGUGGUCUGAUACCAUGGAGACAGCUAGUCUAACUGGGGUCUGAUACCAUGGAGACAGCUAGUCUAACUGGGGUCUGAUACCAUGGAGACAGCUAGUCUAACUGGGGUCUGAUAGCAUGGAGACAGCUAGUCUAACUGGGGUCUGAUACCAUGGAGACAGCUAGUCUUAAUGGGGUCUGAUACCAUGUUUUGUCCCUUUUAGUAACAAGGAAAUGGCAGAGCUCGUACUGCAUCUUUUAGAAUACAAAUGUCCUUAUUGCUUUUCAAUGAGGGAAAAUUGGAAUUGGAAUUUCAUUUGACUGAAUUGGAAUGGCCUUUGUUGCUGUAUGGAUGGCUCUUGGGCAGAUUAUAACUGUAGUAUUAUAUGUCUAUGCAUUGAUCUGACUGCUUGCCUCUUUUUUUCAUGCAAGUUUCCCAUUGACUCCCAUUGAAUCAAUCAAUCAAUGAUUUCUGAUUUUUUUUUUUUUGAAAAUGGAAGGAUUAGAUCUAAAUGUCGUAGACCUUCUAGCUCAAAUGCCUCAGGAAGUCUGUCUUCUGAGUGGCUACCUGUCUAAAUGGCACCUUAGUUCCUAUAUAGUGCACUACUUAUCAGCCCUGGUCCAAGGUAGUGCUACAUCGUGGGAUCGACCUGGAUGGAUGUGUGUUUUGUUGUCUGUCUCUUUGUUUGCAUGGCUCUGAUGGCCGUACAGAAUCUCUAGUCUAGCAGGAAAGGUUGUGUGGCACUGAACUCCUGUCUGACCAUAGCCUGGAAGCCUAACUGAUACACUCCAUUUCACCAAUGGAAACAGAACAUGUCAUCUUGGAAUCCAGGCUAGUUUGACCAUGUAUACGUGGUUAGAAUGUAACUAUUUAUUAAUAUACAGACUGCUCUGUAAUGGAAGGUUAUAAAGAAACUGUUCAUUAAUUAACACUGACUGGUGUAAAUAUCUAUUGUACCCUGGAAGCCAAACUGAAUUGUUCCAAAACGGUACAAUUCUGUUCUGAUUCCAGGCUAAUAAAUAAUAUCUAUGUUGAAAAUGUAUGAAAUGGCGAUUAAAACGUAGACAGAUGAAACUGUUUGCUUGAACUCUUUGCUGUAGGUCACCUUGUACCUCUUAUAAAAUAACUCUACUCUAAUUCCGCUGAUAAUGUUUUGGAUCGUUAUUUUUGGGAUUGUUAUUUUUCUCAAUUUAUAGUUGUGAAAGUGUUGCUGUUCAGGAUCGUCUACUUAUUCUCGCUGUGUGUUGCAGCCAUAUUGCAUUUCAAAAGUGACAGUGACUCAAGUAGCUUUUGAAUGAAAUCAAAUUAAUUUAUGUAUGAUUAACAUGAAAUUAAAACGAAAGAUUACGAAAGAUUUCCGUGUGGAUUUAAUGUGUCAAGUAAAACAUCAUUAUUUCGUUUCGUUAGGAAACACAUAUCUUUUGUCAUGUUGCUUUUCAGGAA
ensembl:lncRNA